rnacentral:rRNA from 1 species
GAUCAUGGCUCAGAUUGAACGCUGGCGGAAUGCUUUACACAUGCAAGUCGAACGGUAGAGGGGGGCAACCCCUCGAGAGUGGCGAACGGGUGAGUAAUAUAUCGGAACGUGCCCAGUCGUGGGGGAUAACGUAGCGAAAGUUACGCUAAUACCGCAUACGAUCUACGGAUGAAAGCGGGGGACUCGCAAGGGCCUCGCGCGAUUGGAGCGGCCGAUAUCAGAUUAGGUAGUUGGUGGGGUAAAGGCUCACCAAGCCAACGAUCUGUAGCUGGUCUGAGAGGACGACCAGCCACACUGGAACUGAGACACGGUCCAGACUCCUACGGGAGGCAGCAGUGGGGAAUUUUGGACAAUGGGCGAAAGCCUGAUCCAGCCAUUCCGCGUGCAGGAUGAAGGCCCUCGGGUUGUAAACUGCUUUUGUACGGAACGAAAAGGUCUCUCCUAAUACGAGGGGCUCAUGACGGUACCGUAAGAAUAAGCACCGGCUAACUACGUG